rnacentral:rRNA from 1 species
UACGAAGGGGGCUAGCGUUGUUCGGAAUCACUGGGCGUAAAGCGCAUGCAGGCGGAUUGUUAAGUCGGGGGGUGAAAUCCCGAGGCUCAACCUCGGAACUGCCUUCGAUACUGGCAAUCUUGAGUCCGGGAGAGGUGAGUGGAACUGCGAGUGUAGAGGUGAAAUUCGUAGAUAUUCGCAAGAACACCAGUGGCGAAGGCGGCUGCACUGGCCCGUAACUAGCUGAGGCACGAAAGCGUGGGGAGCAAACAGG